UACGUAGGGGGCAAGCGUUGUCCGGAUUUAUUGGGCGUAAAGAGCGUGUAGGCGGCCUGAAAGGUCAGCUGUGAAAACUCGAGGCUCAACCUCGAGACGUCGGUUGAAACCGUAUGGCUAGAGUCCGGAAGAGGAGAGUGGAAUUCCCGGUGUAGCGGUGAAAUGCGCAGAUAUCGGGAGGAACACCGGUGGUGUAAACGGCUUUCUGGACCAUAACUGACGCUGAGGCACGAAAGCGUGGGUAGCAAACAGG
rnacentral:rRNA from 1 species